rnacentral:rRNA from 1 species
GAUGAACGCUGGCGGCGUGCCUAAUACAUGCAAGUCGAGCGAAUGGAUUAAGAGCUUGCUCUUAUGAAGUUAGCGGCGGACGGGUGAGUAACACGUGGGUAACCUGCCCGUAAGACUGGGAUAACUCCGGGAAACCGGGGCUAAUACCGGAUAACAUUUUGAACCGCAUGGUUCGAAAUUGAAAGGCGGCUUCGGCUGUCACUUAUGGAUGGACCCGCGUCGCAUUAGCUAGUUGGUGCGGUAACGGCUCACCAAGGCAACGAUGCGUAGCCGACCUGAGAGGGUGAUCGGCCACACUGGGACUGAGACACGGCCCAGACUCCUACGGGAGGCAGCAGUAGGGAAUCUUCCGCAAUGGACGAGAGUCUGACGGAGCAACGCCGCGUGAGUGAUGAAGGCUUUCGGGUCGUAAAACUCUGUUGUUAGGGAAGAACAAGUGCUAGUUGAAUAAGCUGGCACCUUGACGGUACCUAACCAGAAAGCCACGGCUAACUACGUGCCAGCAGCCGCCGCUG